UUGGGUUCUCAUCUACGCUUAAUGCUUUUAUCGUUUAACUCGUUCGAUAACUGUUGUUUGUCUCUAUUGGUACGAGAACGUACAGUACUGUCAUGAACUGGUGAGAAAUUCCUUGAUUGAGCAAUACCAACCUAGGGAUAGGGGGUAGGACGAUCAAUUGUUUUUGCUUCUGUUCUUAAUGCGUUAUUAAUUGCUAGGGGAGGCUAGGGAUAACAAGCCGGUAAUUAGUAAUAGGCUCUUUUCGCCGAGGGAUCGGGUUAAGGGUAGGCCAAGAAAGUUUGCAUAACAAUUAGAUAAUCAAGAACAUUAAACAAGAGGAGUAGAUAAGGGGGAGUGAAUAAGAUGAAAUUGUCAACCCCCAAUAACUCCAUUCAUCCAUAGUCUUUUUCGUCAAUUGAAUCAAAUACAUUGCAUGCUUAUUUUCUGUCUUUGCAUCCACAACAAUUAAUCUUUUUCUACAAGUCUUACGAUUUUGAUUAACACGAAUGAUCCUUUCGAGUCUCUUGGGAAGAACGAUAUCGAGCAUUACCGAUUAUAUUACUUGCACGAUCUGGUACACUUUCCAGUGAGUCAACACAAGAUCAUUACACCAUGAUAGGAUCAUGUAAAGUUAGAUUAAGUUUGUCCAUGUCAAAGUUAGAGUAAUAUAGAAUUUGACUUCUACAAAUGAGUAGAUAAGUCAAACAAGCAUACAAGUAGAGAAAAAG
rnacentral:lncRNA from 1 species